rnacentral:lncRNA from 1 species
UCCAAGUGAUUCCCCUUGAAUCCCUCUUCAACCCCCUUCAAAAAGCUCCAAAACGACCAUCAAUCGAAUAAAUAAACCUCACAUUCGCGGACAAGACGACCUUUUAAACCUUCUACCCAGGCCCUAAUUCUUUCUUCGCGAAUGCGGUCAAUGCCUCGCAUUUGCGAAGCACAAAAAUAACUUUGACCAAAAAUCCUCUUACGCAAACACGACAUUCCCCUCGCGAACGCGAUGGUUCCUCAGGCUUACCAUUCGCGAACACACUCCCUCUCUCGCGAACAUGAUGAACAACUCGACCCCAGAUCCAGCUGACCAAAUUACUCUAUGCGAACACGCUGCCCUUCUCGAAAACGAGAUGCACGAACAUCCAGCCCUUCGCGAAUGCAGAGCCUCCCUCGCCAACGUGAAGGCUAAAAUUCUACCUUCUUCCACUAACUCUUCACAAACGCAAAAUACCUUCAACAGCUGAAACCAAAUUCUGCAAUUUUUCUUAACUUAGAAUGAUCCGUUCAACACUCCGAAACUCACCCGAGGCCCCCGGGACCUCAACCAAAGGCACCAACAUAUCCCAAAACCUCAUCCAAACUUGUUCCAUUCUUCAAAUUACCUCAAAUAACAUCAAAAAAACAAAAACACAUCGGAUUCAAGCCUAUCUUUCAAAAACCUUCCGAAUUUCGCUUUUGAUCAAAAACCGGACCAAACCUCGCCUGAAUAACCUGAAAUUUUGCGCACACAUCCCAAAUGGCCCAACAUUACUACUGCAACUCUUGUAAUUCUAUUUCGACCCCUAUAUCAAAAUUUCGCCUACCAAUUGAAAAUUUUCAAAAUAUCAACUUCGCCAAUUCAAGCCUAAAUCUACUCCAAAACCUAUUCCGAUCACACUUCUAAGUCUCAAAUCACCUCCCGAAGCUAAUCGAACUGGAGAAACUCACGUCCAAGCCCUCUAAUACAUAAAUAAAUAUCCGAUUGACUUUUCCAACUUAAACUUUCUCAAAAGAGACUAAGUGUCUCUAACCUUACCAAAAUCAUUUCGGAUUCGAUCCGACCAACCCGAUACCAUAAAAGACGGAUAAAUAAAGUAUAAAGAAGCAGAAAUUUGGUAAACAAAAUGGUAAUUCAUGAAAUGACUGGCCGGGUCGUCACAGCUUGAAAAAUAGCUCCUAAACGAUGAUGAUAAUGAGGUAAAAAUGGUUGCAGUAAUCAAGUGCUUUGCCGGAGAUGAGAUUUUGUAAAUUUGUGACCCUUCUUAGGUCAAAUCUCUUGUUUUUUCACUUGUUACUGCUGGUCAUACUUAGGUUUCGCUAAACAGUUGAGAUUGUUGGCUUGUUUCCUUAAUCCUGUGGUGGAUUUAAUUGCAGAUGGUGGCCCUAAAAUGAGUAAGAGCCGUU